CUCCCAGCUCAAAGGACCAGUAAAUAUCUUCAACCCAUCCUUUUUUAACCAUGUCCAUGGGACGAUUACUUAGUUCAAGGGGCCAACAUGGGUACCAAGUGCAGGAUGCUCAAGCCCUAUAUUUAAAACGGUAUAGUGUUUGCAUUGAAUCUGUACUAUGCCUGUGUACAUUUGAAAUUGUGUGUACAAAGUUGGUGCUAUGGAAAUUCUUGCCAAACACUAUCAAUUUUUGGAAUAAUAGCAAAGAAGUUCUGUAUGCAUUCAUCUCAGGCACAGAUUUUCUUUUCUCUGGAUGUUUUCAGUUUCUUGUUGGUUGUACCCAUGAGUGAAGAACCCACUGAUGUGGAGGACUGACUGUUAGACACAGUCUGAGUCUCCUAACAGAUGAUGAGGGCUUGCUUGCCAUGUUAUCCUGCCCUAGUCCAGACUGGGAGAGGCACUUGGAAAGUGAUUUGUACCAUAGAGCUACAGAUCUGAAGAUCUGAAUCCAGACCGGGGAUUUUCUUUCACUGGACCUCAGUGGGCUGCAUGUGGUAAGCAAUGAGCACCAAAGCUGAAUCUUGGCUUUAAAUCUAGCACUCACUGAUCAGCAGAGAAUAGGCCAUCGGCAUGGUACUCCACACAAGACUGCAACACAUGCACAAUUCACAAUCAACUGGGGAGAUAAACCCUAACUGCUCUCCAUGAAGAAUGAAACAGGAAACUCAAAGCUCCGGAUUUGGGCAAUGGGAGCCUUUCCAGCCAACCAUCUAACAUUUUGUCACGGCUCCAUUACUGAUUGCAAGAACACUGUGUCUCUCCUGACGAAUCACGUAAGACUAGUUUGAACACCUUAAAGGAGGACAGAAGAUUUAAAAUGCUAGUGUUUUCCACACAUCUUCAAGUGCUUUGAACUUCCUUUGUGGUGUCAUGUGGAAACUGCAUGCAGACACAACAAGAAGGAAAUCAGCAUACAGGAUGACCCCAGCACUCUAAAAGGAUCCUGAGAACUCAGAUGGCCAGCCUAUUAAAAAUGCAAGCUCUCCUCCCCAAUACCACAACCACCUGGACCAUCGAGCAUCAGCAAAGCUCUUCAACUACAAGAAAGAAAAUCUGUUUGUAUUUGGAAUAACGUGUCAUGAACUAAUGUCUGAGCUGCAAAUGUGUUUCCACGGAGGACAAAAUCACGCUGCUUGAAGAUGCCAGGGUAUGAAGGAUUGUGGAUAGAGAAGGUGGGAUGACAAAAAGUCAUAUUGGCUAUGUAGGGCAACAAACACAGUCAAGGUGUCUUAUGAGGAGUAUUUUAUUUUGUUCAGAUAAUUUUUGGGGGGAACCUUAAUUUGGAAUUGCUCAGAUAAUUUUUUUAAAGGAGACUUGUUUUUUUUUGUUGUUGUUGUUGUUGUUGCUUAAUAUAGGAUUGAAUUUGUACUAGAAACAUCUGAAACUCUCCAGAAUUAACAUGUUGCUGAAGCCUGACCUAAGAUUUGGUUAACCACUGUACGUACUUUCUUCUCCAGCAGCCCCCCUCUGUACUGUAAGCUCAAACUGGAGGUGCUCAGUAACAGGGGAAUGAAGAGCACCUCCAUUCGUCAGCUGAGUUCUUUCUAGUCUACAAAAGAGACAUGAUGUUCUGUCUGAGCCUCACUAAGUUUUCAAGAGAACAAUUGCAUUGUGCAUCUGUGCUCUGAAAGUGUGCACAUUUCAACCUUGUCAAAUAGAAGUCAGACAUGAGCACUUGGCUGUGUAGGUGGGAUGUACUGUCUGGGUAGCCCCUGGUUUAUGCAGAACUGGACAUGCCCAUAUGCUCGGUGGGCAAGAGAAACUACUGGAAAGACAUUUCCUUAUGAUUGGAAUUUCAGUUCCAUGAAAGCCAGAAUGAAUGAUUGUUUGAAAUUACCUGUGUGUCUGCAUGUUUCUGUGUAUAUGUGCAUAGAGGGUGUAUGUACAUGCACAUAGAGACCACGUCUUUUUG
rnacentral:sRNA from 1 species